rnacentral:rRNA from 1 species
GACGAACGCUGUCGGCGUGCUUAACACAUGCAAGUCGAACGGAAAGGCCCUGCUUGCAGGGUACUCGAGUGGCGAACGGGUGAGUAACACGUGGGUGAUCUGCCCUGCACUUCGGGAUAAGCCUGGGAAACUGGGUCUAAUACCGGAUAGGAGCCAUUUUUAGUGUGAUGGUUGGAAAGUUUUUUCGGUGUAGGAUGAGCUCGCGGCCUAUCAGCUUGUUGGUGGGGUAAUGGCCUACCAAGGCGGCGACGGGUAGCCGGCCUGAGAGGGUGGACGGCCACAUUGGGACUGAGAUACGGCCCAGACUCCUACGGGAGGCAGCAGUGGGGAAUAUUGCACAAUGGGCGCAAGCCUGAUGCAGCGACGCCGCGUGGGGGAUGACGGCCUUCGGGUUGUAAACUCCUUUCGCUAGGGACGAAGCUUUUUGUGACGGUACCUAGAUAAGAAGCACCGGCUAACUACGUGCCAGCCGCCGCGGUAA